GACGAACGCUGGCGGCGUGCUUAACACAUGCAAGUCGAACGGAAAGGCCCUGCUUUUGUGGGGUGCUCGAGUGGCGAACGGGUGAGUAACACGUGAGUAACCUGCCCUUGACUUUGGGAUAACUUCAGGAAACUGGGGCUAAUACCGGAUAGGAGCUCCUGCUGCAUGGUGGGGGUUGGAAAGUUUCGGCGGUUGGGGAUGGACUCGCGGCUUAUCAGCUUGUUGGUGGGGUAGUGGCUUACCAAGGCUUUGACGGGCAGCCGGCCUGAGAGGGUGACCGGCCACAUUGGGACUGAGAUACGGCCCAGACUCCUACGGGAGGCAGCAGUGGGGAAUAUUGCACAAUGGGCGGAAGCCUGAUGCAGCAACGCCGCGUGCGGGAUGACGGCCUUCGGGUUGUAAACCGCUUUCGCCUGUGACGAAGCGUGAGUGACGGUAAUGGGUAAAGAAGCACCGGCUAACUACGCG
rnacentral:rRNA from 1 species